CCGGUCUGGGAAUCGAAACCGCGAGUCCGCUGCCCUAACCACUGGGCCAUUGCGCCUCCACAUACAUGCAUGCAUGCAUGCAUACAUACAUACAUACAUACAUACAUACAUACAUACAUAAUUUGCCCUCAACUAUCUACUUUGGAUUCAGAACCUUAUUCUACCAUUUGACGAAUAUAUCUGGUACAGCCUUGAUGUUCUGCUGAGUCGAGAGUGGGAAAGAAGAGAGGGUGUUUGUAUCUGAUUGCAACUAUAUAGGCACUUAUAACAAUUUGCACAAGUGUGAUACAAGCUACAAGGCCAUAUUAAUUUGCUAGUAUCUGCUAAACAUUUACACACACACACACACACACAUACACACACACAUUAAGCAAUAUACUCGUCCACUUCUGAUCCAAAGUAUCAACAAAUACCCAAAUAUACAUAAUAUUUUUUAAUGUUAUAACUUUAACAAUUAUAAUACAUAUGAAAUAAAAUGCUCCAAAAAAAUCCAAAUUCUA